rnacentral:rRNA from 1 species
GGACAGGUUAUUAAGGGCGCACGGUGGAUGCCUUGGCACUAGAAGCCGAUGAAGGACGUUACUAACGACGAUAUGCUUUGGGUAGCUGUAAGUAAGCGUUGAUCCAGAGAUUUCCGAAUGGGGGAACCCAGCAUGAGUUAUGUCAUGUUAUCGACAUGUGAAUUCAUAGCAUGUCAGAAGGCAGACCCGGAGAACUGAAACAUCUUAGUACCCGGAGGAAGAGAAAGAAAAAUCGAUUCCCUGAGUAGCGGCGAGCGAAACGGGAAGAGCCCAAACCAACAAGCUUGCUUGUUGGGGUUGUAGGACACUCUAUACGGAGUUACAAAAGAACAUGUUAGACGAAUCAUCUGGAAAGAUGAAUCAAAGAAGGUAAUAAUCCUGUAGUCGAAAACAUAUUCUCUCUUGAGUGGAUCCUGAGUACGACGGAGCACGUGAAAUUCCGUCGGAAUCUGGGAGGACCAUCUCCUAAGGCUAAAUACUCUCUAGUGACCGAUAGUGAACCAGUACCGUGAGGGAAAGGUGAAAAGUACCCCGGAAGGGGAGUGAAAGAGAACUUGAAACCGUGUGCUUACAAGUAGUCAGAGCCCGUUAAUGGGUGAUGGCGUGCCUUUUGUAGAAUGAACCGGCGAGUUACGAUCUGAUGCAAGGUUAAGCAGCAAAUGUGGAGCCGCAGCGAAAGCGAGUCUGAAUAGGGCGUUGAGUAUUUGGUCGUAGACCCGAAACCAGGUGAUCUACCCUUGGUCAGGUUGAAGUUCAGGUAACACUGAAUGGAGGACCGAACCGACUUACGUUGAAAAGUGAGCGGAUGAACUGAGGGUAGCGGAGAAAUUCCAAUCGAACUUGGAGAUAGCUGGUUCUCUCCGAAAUAGCUUUAGGGCUAGCCUCAAGUGAUGAUUAUUGGAGGUAGAGCACUGUUUGGACGAGGGGCCCCUCUCGGGUUACCGAAUUCAGACAAACUCCGAAUGCCAAUUAAUUUAACUUGGGAGUCAGAACAUGGGUGAUAAGGUCCGUGUUCGAAAGGGAAACAGCCCAGACCACCAGCUAAGGUCCCAAAAUAUAUGUUAAGUGGAAAAGGAUGUGGCGUUGCCCAGACAACUAGGAUGUUGGCUUAGAAGCAGCCAUCAUUUAAAGAGUGCGUAAUAGCUCACUAGUCGAGUGACACUGCGCCGAAAAUGUACCGGGGCUAAACAUAUUACCGAAGCUGUGGAUUGUCCUUUGGACAAUGGUAGGAGAGCGUUCUAAGGGCGUCGAAGCAUGAUCGCAAGGACAUGUGGAGCGCUUAGAAGUGAGAAUGCCGGUGUGAGUAGCGAAAGACGGGUGAGAAUCCCGUCCACCGAUUGACUAAGGUUUCCAGAGGAAGGCUCGUCCGCUCUGGGUUAGUCGGGUCCUAAGCUGAGGCCGAA